rnacentral:pre_miRNA from 1 species
AGCCACUGACUAACGCACAUUGUGCUGUUAAAGAAUCCACUGUGCGUGUGACAGCGGCUAA